GCUCCUAUCGUUUAAUGGUCUAAGACAAUGUUUUUUCGUAGCAUAAACGUGGGUUCGAGUCCCACUAGGAGUAU
rnacentral:tRNA from 1 species